rnacentral:rRNA from 1 species
UACGUAGGGCGCAAGCGUUGUCCGGAAUUAUUGGGCGUAAAGGGCGCGUAGGCGGCCACCGCAAGUCGACUGUGAAAUCUCCGGGCUUAACCCGAAAGGUCAGCCGAUACUGCGGGGCUAGAGUGCAGAAGGGGCAACUGGAAUUCUCGGUGUAGCGGUGAAAUGCGUAGAUAUCGAGAGGAACACCUGCGGCGAAGGCGGGUUGCUGGGCUGACACUGACGCUGAGGCGCGAAAGCUAGGGGAGCGAACGGG